UACGUAGGGGGCAAGCGUUGUCCGGAUUUAUUGGGCGUAAAGAGCGUGUAGGCGGCCAUACAGGUCCGUUGUGAAAACUGGAGGCUUAACCUCCAGACGUCGAUGGAAACCGUAUGGCUAGAGUCCGGAAGAGGAGAGUGGAAUUCCUGGUGUAGCGGUGAAAUGCGCAGAUAUCAGGAAGAACACCCGUGGCGAAGGCGGCUCUCUGGCCCGGUACUGACGCUGAGGUGCGAAAGCGUGGGGAGCAAACAGG
rnacentral:rRNA from 1 species